UUUUCUAAUUUUAUUUUAUUUUUAUUUUUAUUUUAAUUUAUCUCUCUCUUUUUUAUUUUGUCCUGUAACAAGGUAGGGACCUUGCCUCAGUUGUCGGUACUUCUAAUGUGUGUGUGUGUAUUUGCAGGAAAGGAGAAACAGGUCAAGGGAGGCGAUUCCAAACAGGCCAUAGGCCAGGGGGCUUUCUAACGUAAUCUAAGAGGGCGCCCACGUGAGCUAGUCCGAGCGUAUCACGGACACUCGUGAGGACAUCUUCCAUGGAUUCACCUAUAUGAUUGUGGAAGUGGAGGCCGCUUCGUAUGGGAAUUGGGCAUUAUCUAAAGCGCUCAUGAAACAGGAUCGGCAUAAGGCUUUUAAAUGUGCAAGCCUUUUGGAAAACCACAGUUUUUUAAAUAGAUUGUGUGGUAUGUGGGAGGCUUAUCGAUAAAGGACACAGUUCAAGGUGUAUCCACUCACUGUCUUAAUAAGCGUUCUGCAUAACACUACGUAAAGAUUCAAGUCCAAAAGAUACCUUCACUUAUGUAUUCGUCUUUCUCAAUUUGUUUGGAGAGAAGUUUUGUUAUUUUAAAAUAGGUGGGGGAUUGUUAGCUUUUUUACAAAGUAAUUGUUUCAAAACAACUCUAAUUUUGCUGGUCUUUAUGAAUAUUGUGGUCCUUAGAGACCACCCUUCUUUGAAGCUCACUUUUGAACUCAACUUUUGUUUUUUGAGUACCACGUUUUAUGCUUUAAUGACAUGUUGAACCCCCUGCCUUUAUCUUCUUGACACGUCAUAAAUGUGUAAUGAUUAAGCCUCUCUCUCUGUCUCUCAUACACACACACACUAGAAAAGAGAGGCCCUUACGGGCUUAGAAAAGUGAAUGUGGGCUUCCUGUUUACAGGCUUACUGUGAACUCUCUCUUUCAUGUUAAGUGUUUGACGUCUCUCUCUCCUUAAUCAAGCUCAUCGUCCUCAUGUAUCUGCUCUCCAUUGGUAACCUAGCUGAGGAAGCAAAGAAGGAAGAGAAGUUGACAAAAAUUUGAAGUAGAUGUUUUAUAAUCCUAGCCUCGCAUGAGUUUAAGAGUGUUAACCUCCAAUUCUUGAGUGGGCAACUAGACAGUGGUGGCAGGCGGUUGAAGCUCAGGAUCUGACAAGGAACUUUUGAUUGUAGGUGUCUAGUGGCAGUGCCACAAUGUUGUUUAAAUAUGAUACUGUAAUUUUGUUGUCGGGCCUAUAGCGCC